UAGGGAAUCCCUCGGCAAUGGACGGAAGUCUGACCGAGCAACGCCGCGUGAGUGAAGAAGGUUUUCGGAUCGUAAAGCUCUGUUGUAAGAGAAGAACGAGUGUGAGAGUGGAAAGUUCACACUGUGACGGUAUCUUACCAGAAAGGGACGGCUAACUACGUGCCAGCAGCCGCGGUAAUACGUAGGUCCCGAGCGUUGUCCGGAUUUAUUGGGCGUAAAGCGAGCGCAGGCGGUUAGAUAAGUCUGAAGUUAAAGGCUGUGGCUUAACCAUAGUAGGCUUUGGAAACUGUUUAACUUGAGUGCAAGAGGGGAGAGUGGAAUUCCAUGUGUAGCGGUGAAAUGCGUAGAUAUAUGGAGGAACACCGGUGGCGAAAGCGGCUCUCUGGCUUGUAACUGACGCUGAGGCUCGAAAGCGUGGGGAGCAAACAGGAUUAGAUACCCUGGUAGUCCACGCCGUAAACGAUGAGUGCUAGGUGUUAGACCCUUUCCGGGGUUUAGUGCCGUAGCUAACGCAUUAAGCACUCCGCCUGGGGAGUACGACCGCAAGGUUG
rnacentral:rRNA from 1 species